rfam:Stackebrandtia nassauensis DSM 44728, complete genome.
UGUUAAGUUGUGUAGGGCACAUGGUGGAUGCCUUGGUACCAGAAGCCGAUGAAGGACGUGUGAGGCUGCGUUAAGCCUGGGGGAGUUGUCAACAAAGCUGUGAUCCCAGGAUGUCCGAAUGGGGAAACCCAGCAUCAUUUAUGUGGUGUUACCCGCGCCUGAAUGUAUAGGGCGUGUGGAGGGAACGCGGGGAAGUGAAACAUCUCAGUACCCGUAGGAAGAGAAAACAACCGUGAUUGUGUUAGUAGUGGCGAGCGAACGCGCAAGAGGCUAAACCGUGCAUCGUGUGAUACCCGGCAGGGGUUGCGUGUGCGGGGUUGUGGGACCCACUUUUCUCUAUCUGCCGAUGGAGAGGGUAGUAAGAAAGUGUCGUGUUAGGUGAAUCCGUUGGAAAGCGGAACGGUAAACGGUGAUAGUCCGGUAACCGAAAACAUGGCACCUGCCUUAGUGGGCACCCGAGUAGCAUCAGACUCGUGGAAUCUGUUGUGAAUCUGCCAGGACCACCUGGUAAGCCUAAAUACUUUCUGGUGACCGAUAGCGGAUUUAGUACCGUGAGGGAAUGGUGAAAAGUACCCCGGGAGGGGAGUGAAAUAGUACCUGAAACCAUGUGCUUGCAAUCCGUCAAAGCCUACGCGUGGGUUUACCUGCGGUGGGUGAUGGCGUGCCUUUUGAAGAAUGAGCCUGCGAGUUAGUGGUGCGUGGCGAGGUUAACCCGUGUGGGGUAGCCGUAGCGAAAGCGAGUCUGAAUAGGGCGAAUUGAGUCGCGUGUCCUAGACCCGAAGCGAAGUGAUCUACCCAUGUCCAGGGUGAAGCGGCUGUAAGAGGUCGUGGAGGCCCGAACCCACCAGCGUUGAAAAGCUGGGGGAUGAGGUGUGGGUAGGGGUGAAAGGCCAAUCAAACUUCGUGAUAGCUGGUUCUCCCCGAAAUGCAUUUAGGUGCAGCGUCGCGUGUUUCUUGCCGGAGGUAGAGCACUGGUUGGCCUAGGGGGCCGACAAGCUUACUGAAGUCAGCCAAACUCCGAAUGCCGGUAAGGCUAAUAGCGCGGCAGUGAGACUGCGGGGGAUAAGCUUCGUAGUCGAAAGGGAAACAGCCCAGAUCACCAGCUAAGGCCCCUAAGCGUGUACUGAGUGGAAAAGGAUGUGUCAUCGCGUAGACAACCAGGAGGUUGGCUUAGAAGCAGCCACCCUUGAAAGAGUGCGUAAUAGCUCACUGGUCAAGUGGUUUCGCGCCGACAAUGUAGCGGGGCUGAAGUACACCGCCGAAGCUGUGACACUCACACAAUAACCCGGCUCGCCAUUACGGUGGCGUGUCUAGGUGUGUGGGUGGGUAGGGGAGCGUCCUGUCACCAUAGAAGCAGCCGCGGAAGCGAGUUGUGGAGGUGGCGGGAGUGAGAAUGCAGGCAUGAGUAGCGAAAGCAGGGUGAGAAACCCUGCCGCCGGAUGACUAAGGGUUCCAGGGGCAGGCUAAUCCGCCCUGGGUAAGUCGGGACCUAAGGCGAGGCCGAAAGGCGUAGUCGAUGGACAACGGGUUGAUAUUCCCGUACCCGCGAAGAUACGACCAUGAUGAAUCUUGUGUGUGCUAACCACCCAAACCACCGCGACAUUGGCCUUCGGGCCGGUGAGUGUGUGGGGCGGCUGGGACCCCGCCUGGUAGUAGUCAAGCGAUGGGGUGACACAGGAGGGUAGCCGGUCCCGGUGACUGGUAGUGCCGGGCCAAGCAUGUAGCCCGUGGUAUAGGCAAAUCCGUACCACACGAGGGUGAGAUGUGACGGGUAGCCUGAAUGAAGGUGUAAGUCGGUGAUCCCAUGCUGUCGAGAAAAGCCUCUAGCGAUGUAUCGAGCGGCCCGUACCCCAAACCGACACAGGUAGUCAGGUAGAGAAUACUAAGGCGAUCGGGUGAACUGUGGUUAAGGAACUCGGCAAAUUGCCCCCGUAACUUCGGAAGAAGGGGGACCACACUCGGUGAAUGGAUUUACUCCAGGAGCUGGGGGUGGUCGCAGAAACCAGGGGGAAGCGACUGUUUACUAAAAACACAGGUCCAUGCGAAGAAGUAAUUCGAUGUAUAUGGACUGACGCCUGCCCGGUGCUGGAACGUUAAGAGGACCCGUUAACCCGUAAGGGUGAAGCGGAGAAUUUAAGCGCCAGUAAACGGCGGUGGUAACUAUAACCAUCCUAAGGUAGCGAAAUUCCUUGUCGGGUAAGUUCCGACCUGCACGAAUGGCGUAACGACUUCCCCACUGUCUCAACCACAGGCCCGGCGAAAUUGCAGUACGAGUAAAGAUGCUCGUUACGCGCGGCAGGACGGAAAGACCCCGGGACCUUUACUACAGCUUGGUAUUGAUGCUUUGGACAGUUUGUGUAGGAUAGGUGGGAGCCAGUGAACCGUGGACGCUAGUUCAUGGGGAGGCGUUGUUGAAAUACCACUCUGAUUGUUUGGAGUAUCUAACCUGCGACCGUUAUCCGGUCGAGGGACAGUGCCUGGUGGGUAGUUUAACUGGGGCGGUUGCCUCCCAAAAAGUAACGGAGGCGCCCAAAGGUUUCCUCAGCCUGGUUGGCAAUCAGGUGUCGAGUGCAAGUGCACAAGGAAGCUUAACUGUGAGACCGACGGGUCAAGCAGAUGCGAAAGCAGGGACUAGUGAUCCAGCACCGGCAAGUGGAAGCGGUGUUGCUCAACGGAUAAAAGGUACCCCGGGGAUAACAGGCUGAUCUUCCCCAAGAGUCCAUAUCGACGGGAUGGUUUGGCACCUCGAUGUCGGCUCGUCGCAUCCUGGGGCCGAAGCAGGUCCCAAGGGUUGGGCUGUUCGCCCAUUAAAGCGGCACGCGAGCUGGGUUUAGAACGUCGUGAGACAGUUCGGUCCCUAUCCGCCGCGCGCGCAGGAAACUUGAGAAGACCUGUCCCUAGUACGAGAGGACCGGGACGGACGAACCUCUGGUGUGCCAGUUGUACCGCCAGGUGCACGGCUGGUUAGCUACGUUCGGAACGGAUAACCGCUGAAAGCAUCUAAGCGGGAAACCGACUUCAAGAUAAAGUCUCCAUCACCUAGCGUGUGAAGGCUCCCAGCCAGACGACUGGGUUGAUAGGCCAGAAAUGUAAGCACAGCAAUGUGUUCAGUUGACUGGUACUAACAAGCCGACCACUUAACAAC